CCUACGGGUGGCAGCAGUCGAGAAUCAUUCACAAUGGGGGAAACCCUGAUGGUGCGACGCCGCGUGGGGGAAUGAAGGUCUUCGGAUUGUAAACCCCUGUCAUGUGGGAGCAAAUUAAAAAGAUAGUACCACAAGAGGAAGAGACGGCUAACUCUGUGCCAGCAGCCGCGGUAAUACAGAGGUCGCAAGCGUUGUUCGGAAUCACUGGGCGUAAAGCGUGCGUAGGCUGUUUCGUAAGUCGUGUGUGAAAGGCGCGGGCUCAACCCGCGGACGGCACAUGAUACUGCGAGACUAGAGUAAGGGAGGGGGAACCGGAAUUCUCGGUGAAGCAGUGAAAUGCGUAGAUAUCGAGAGGAACACUCGUGGCGAAGGCGGGUUCCUGGACAUUAACUGACGCUGAGGCACGAAGGCCAGGGGAGCGAAAGGGAUUAGAUACCCGAGUAGUC
rnacentral:rRNA from 1 species